GUCUAUAGUCAUACCACUCUGAGUAUGCCUGGUCUGGUCUGAUCCUGGAAGCUAAGCAGGAUGGGGCCUGGUUAGUACUUGGAUGGGAGGUUUGCCUUUUUAUGCU
rnacentral:rRNA from 1 species